rnacentral:lncRNA from 1 species
UUCAUCGUUCCAACACCCCAUUCUCAGAAACCUGCCCUCAAACCCUAGUAGCCGCCCCAAAAUCCCACCACCGUCCGGUGGCAGCGCCACCUCCAAACGCCAUCAAAAUUACACCACCGAACCACCCUGACCCCCUCGUUCUGAAUCCCCACUCUGUUUCCCUUGAAUAUUGCCCCAGCUCCUCGAAUCUUAGAUCAGAAACAAACCCCAGAAACCCCAAGUCAAGUUUUGGCAAAAUUUCGUGCCGAAUAUGAGUUUAUUUGUGUGUUCUUCGUAAGAGCACACGAUUAACCUCAGAUUUGGUCGGAAAAUCCGAGGAUCUGAAGCCCGAGCUUUUAAAGCCAAACCCAAACCUGUACAUGCAGAGUUGUUCCUUGAUAAAAAAUAGUAUUUGACGCCAUUUAGGAGUCCCAAGCCCCAGGUUCAAGUUUCAGUUGGUAAGUCCGUCUUUCAUUUCUUGGUCCACCUCUCCUCCUUUUUCUGGUCGAUUCAAUUAAAACUCUGUUAAUUGUGCUGUUUGAGAGUUGGUUGUGUUUUUGUGCUCCCCGUUAAGUUUUGUUUUCCCAAAUUGAUUUCUUUAACUGCUUUUGAUCUAUUAAGCACGACUUUGUUAGUAUCUUUGUUUAAUUAUUCCAAACCCGCUUAGGGUUGAUUUUGCUGUGUCAACCUUGUUAUUAAUGAAUCUUGUUACUUUUAAUUCAUAAUUGUCAAGGUAAUAGUUUCUGAAUGUUCAUUUGGACUGAUUUGGAACCAGCCUUGGGCUUUUGAGUCAUUUCUGACCCAAUUCAAGAUGCCCGAUUGUUUUGAGCCCAAGUUUGUUUGGUUGGCAAGGUAAUUAACAGGGUUUAAAAGGGUAAAUUGGGAAAUCUAGGUAAAGAAUCUCUCUAUAACUGAAAUAGGAAGCUUCCCAGAAGCUGUCAUUAGGACUCAACCGAAAAUCUGAUAGUACCUAGGGAUAUCUAAGCUAUAUUGCAAAUGUAAAAAGGGUCUAAUUACAAAAUUUGAAUUAUUUAAGCCUGCCCAAAUAGCUUGCCUAUAAAGGCAGCUUUUCUUGCCUUUCAAGGAAGACAAAAAAAGAGAUUUUAAGAGAUAAAAAAUAUAGAAAAUACAAACGGCUGAGCUCUUUUUACUGCUUCAUUGAACUUCUUCAGAAAUCUUUGAUUUGAUUCAAUUUUUGAAAUAAUUUGGACUUAUAUGAGUGUGGAAUGGGUGGAAUUUGAUCUUCGGAAGUUGGUUUUUGAAAUUAGCCUUAGUGUUGUUCGAUUGGGAGCUGUUUUGGACUGUUUCAUAUUAUUUUUGGUUAAACUGGGUUGUUGGUAUUGAAUCCUGCCAUAUUGCUGCUGCUGUUUAUUGCUUCUCACCUCUUUUUCCUCUUUGCAAAUUCCAGGUACAUGCUCUAAAACCUGUAUAAUGUGAAUUGCUUGACUUGAAAGGUGAAAUGGAAAUGGAGUUGAUGAGCUUGGCCUUAGUUUGUUAUUCAUUAUUUAGUUCAUCUCUUUCUGUUUUCUUCCUCUGAAUCUCUAGUCUCUGAAUCUGAAGAAAAGGUUCUUGUAUUUAAUAGGGGUUUGGUACCUUACUUGCUUUGAUAGCCAUGUAGUGUGAAACUUGAAGUUGGAUUUUCUAACAUUAUGCUAGAUUUGGACUUUCUGGAGUACAUUUGAGUCCAGAAUACUAAUCAAUUAUGUGUGUAUUAAUUAUGGACAGGGACUACUAGUUUAACUAAUUAAAUUUGUUUAGUUUGAAUGUAUGUUUCAUGGCUUUGGAAAAUAUAAGGAUUUGAUAUUGAAUGUGAG